rnacentral:pre_miRNA from 1 species
GCUAGCCGCUCGUUGUAGGAUCGUCGUUGAAACAUGCGUAGCGGAUUUCACCGGGCAUUCCUAUGACGAAUGGACGAACA